AUAAUAGGUAGGUUGUGUUUUAGAUUCUAAUGGAAAGGUUUUCCAGUUUUAUUAUAAUUUUAAAAAUAUUGAGGCUCUUUUAGUUGUUUACUAACUAUAGGUAAAUUAAAAUUUAUUACCAUUACGAGUUUAAAAUGAUUAUUUAUUGUAUAUCUAACCUUAAAAUUAUUUUCACUCUCAGAUAGCCAUAAGCGCUAUUUGUAUAUAUGUUCUGAAAGUUGAGUUAUGCUCUGGGUUAUGUCAUAUUCUAGGGGUGCAAUAUUAUUUAAUAACUAAAAACCUAAGUGUUCUAUGAAAAAAUAAGUAGAAAUUUACCCAUGUUGAUUAUUU